ACAGCAACUCCCGCCCUUCUGACUACUCCUUUUAAUGUUACUUAGACUUAAUGAAUUAAUGAAUUAAUUAAUUACAGCAAAAAUCAAAACAAAAAGAUUAGAAACUUUGACCAGAUGUGUAUUUGAUUGAAGAAAUCCACUGUGAAGGAGGUGGCGGUCCCAUCAGGAUCUGGACAGCAGUUUUCCAGGGCCCAGGUCAACUAUGAAAAAGAACAUACACGGAAACGUUGGUGAAAUGGUCCGGCUUAGUGUAUCUACUGGGAACGCUCUACUCUCCCAGGCGCUCUGAACUACCCGCGGGCUCCGUGUAUCUGCUGGACCACUGGGCGCGUUGUUUGAAAGACGGGCACCUGAGUGGGGUUAUGUCCGUCACUGGACAGAUGAUGAAAUCAGGAAAGAUUCGUGUCCAUCCAAGCCUUGAAGUCACCAAGCUCUUUUCUGGCGGCUCGGGGUAUCCUGCGUUCGUCUCUUUGCUGAUGAUUGGCUCCUGGUCUAUGUGAUGUAAUUGUGUACUGACACACCCAGGAGUACACCUCCAUAUCACUGAAGCAACAUGAGACGUUCCACCACCAGAGGUAAUUUCACAGCUGUUGUGGUGGACAGAGAGUGUCAGUGGAGACACUGAUGUGUGAUUUCAUCAUUUCUACUGCAUCAUUUCUCAGUAAUGAGCCCCAGCGGAGCUCCUCUCCUUAUCGGCUUCAUCAACAGCAGCUGUUUCCAUCUGUAACACAACACAAGGCCAGACCCCAGACCCCAGACCCCAGAGGCCAGGGUCUGUGUGGACACUUGGACGCUCUGGCGGCGAUAACCUAGGGGGCAGUGUCUCCAUGGGUACGGCUGAGAAGCUUCAGGCCUUUGCUUCGGUUGUCUAAGGUCUGUUUCUCCUCGAGGACUUUGUUCUUGCGUACUGCGUCCACUCCAUGUAAAGUCAGAUUUCAGCUCGUGUGAUUCACAUGAAGCUCAGUAAUCUGACGUCGCCAUGGUUUAACUGACCAUACACGCAUUUUUAACUACAUCAGCUCCUUCCCACACUCUGCUGCAGCCUUUGGCUUCAGUUCAUUUCUGUUGGCAGGGUUUCCCACAGGUUUGAACUAUACUCGGGGUGUGAGCAGGGGCAGGUGUAGAAACUUUUGAAAUGGGGCGACCAAACUGGGGCACACCUGGCCUGUCCAGUUACUUUUGAGCCUCUGAAAAUGAGGACUAUGUAUAUAAAUGGCUGUAACUCCUAAAUGUUUAAUGUGAUAUUUUUGUUGAACCCCUCUGUUGUGGUGUGCAGAGGCACAGUUAUGAAAAUUGUGUCACUGUCCAAAUACUUAGGGACAUAACUGUAAGUCGGUUGUUCUGGCCA